AAGUCGUAACAAGGUUUCCGUAGGUGAACCUGCGGAAGGAUCAUUCAUAAUUGAGUGUUUUAUGGCACUCUUUAAAAAAAUCCAUAUCCACCUUGUGUGCAACGUUUUUGAACUCUCUGGCAUUAAAAAGCCAAGAGGGUUUGAUUAACUUAACACCUUUAAAGCAGUUUGUCCGAAUAUCUAUUUCUGAAUAAACAUAAUUCAAAAAUACAACUUUCAACAACGGAUCUCUUGGCUCUC
rnacentral:misc_RNA from 1 species